UUCAACAGGCUAUUCUAAAUUAAAGUCCUUGUAACUUUUUGAUCCUGGAGGAGAUUGUGGAUACUUGACCUAGUUACUAAUGAGGCAAUACGCAAAAGAGAUGACCUUCUGAGAAAGUCGGAAGCUGAUUUCCUGCGGGCAAAGAAAGGAAUCAAAGCAAAAGUGACUGAGGUGGAGCACCUUGGCAGUGUGGUCAAGAAACUGAAAGCCAGUAUCCAGGACACACAGAAAGAAAGGAAUCAGACAGAGACAGAAACUGCCAUACUGAGAACUGAGCUUCAGCAGCUAAAUCAGGAACUGCAGGGUGUGCAUUAGCAGUGCAGAAGGACAGCCAAGAACUUGCCAGUCAAGAUGAAAAACUUCUUCUAAUGGAAUCCAGCUUGAAAGCAACUCAAGAGCAGCUAAGUGAGCAAACAGCAGAAACAGUUCACCAAGAACAGAACAGUAGAAAAUCACAGACAGAGCUGAAAGAAGAUCCUGAGAGAACGUAUUAUAGCUUCUGAUGAAGAAAUUAGUGAUUACAAAGCUGUCUCUAAGCAAGAUGCUGCCAAAUAAAAGGAAAUUUAGUGUUUGAACUUUUAGUCACAACAGUAAGGCACAUAUGAGAUUGCAUACUAUACUUGAGAAAAGUUUAAACAGAAAAAUGUACCUCUAUUCUCAGAAAAAAAAAAAAUAGUAUCUAUAAGUUUAUAAGUUUAAAUGUUAGCUCUGAAGAUUUUAAUUAAAAAAUACUAAUCUUCAACAAAUAACUUUUAUAAAUUAUAAUGACUUUAAAUGUAUUUUUAUAUUGAGACACAAAAUGAUACAUUAUUCAGAUUUUUCAAGAUCUACAGUAUGGUAGAAAUGAUUCACUACUGCUUCUUUUUGCCUUAUUGUAUGCAAACUGUUACAUAUGUUAUAUUAAAAAAUUGUUAAAUGUAGAGACAGAAACUCAAGCUGUUUUAUAAUAUCAUAGAGUGCAGGUGAAUGCUUUAUAAAGAGAGCAUGACUGAAAUAAAGUUUAUUCAUUCAGUGGUAGGUUGAACAUUUAAAGAGAAAUGUUUUAUCUCAGAUUUGUACCAAGCAUCAAGGACUGUCUCUACAAAUCUCCUCUGAGAGAAGCUUUGCUAGGUUUAGAUGCAAUAAACAUAAUGUUUCAAAAUCACAAUAUGACAAUGUUAUAAUUUGUAUGCUCAGUGUAAAUAGCUUCUAGACUGGAACUUCACUCUGUAUUCAAAAGUUUAAAGCCAAUUUUUCUGCUGAAGACUGGGAAAAUCUCUAUGGGAAGAAAAAAACGCACAAGAACAAAAACAUUGUCUACAGUAAUAUGUCUUCAUUUCUUUAAAUAAAAUAGCUUGGUGGUUUUCAACUUCUAGUUAUACCUCUAAAGACCUUACUACUACUUCUCUAGGGACAGUAGUGUCACUGAUUUGCUUUCCUAACCUAUCUUGACUCCUUUGCUACAGUAAGCUUUCUUAACCAUUUCAAGUGAUUCUUCAGUUGCCAAAAUGCCAUGUUAUGCAAAUUCCUGUAGAUAUUUACUUCAAAAUUAAAAGGUUAAAAUCU
rnacentral:lncRNA from 7 species